rnacentral:rRNA from 1 species
CAUGCAAGUCACGGGGGCCCGCAAGGGCAACCGGCGAACGGGUGCGUAACACGUGAACAACCUGCCCUCGUGUGGGGGAUAGCCGGGCUAACGCCCGGGUAAUACCGCAUACGUUCUCUCUGGGGAGUCCUGGGGAGAGGAAAGCUCCGGCGCACGGGGAGGGGUUCGCGGCCUAUCAGCUAGUUGGCGGGGUAAUGGCCCACCAAGGCGACGACGGGUAGCUGGUCUGAGAGGAUGGCCAGCCACAUUGGGACUGAGAGACGGCCCAGACUCCUACGGGAGGCAGCAGUGGGGAAUCUUGCGCAAUGGUCGAAAGACUGACGCAGCGACGCCGCGUGUGGGAGGACGCCUUUCGGGGUGUAAACCACUGUUGCCCGGGACGAACAGGCUCAUUCGUGAGCCCUGACGGUACCGGGUGAGGAAGCACCGGCUAACUCCGUGCCAGCAGCCGCGGUAAUACGGAGGGUGCGAGCGUUGUCCGGAAUCAUUGGGCGUAAAGGGCGCGUAGGUGGCCCGGUCAGUUCGUGGUGAAAGCGCGGGGCUCAACCCUGCGUCGGCCAUGAAUACUGCCGCGGCUGGAGCACUGUAGAGGCAGGCGGAAUUCCGGGUGUAGCGGUGGAAUGCGUAGAG